UAGGGAUGUGUCACAAACACUUUCAUACCUCAUACGCUUGGAAGAAGAUGCUUGCCCUGUCAUUUGAAGUUAUAUUCCAUACACAUUAAAUAGCUCAAACUGCCACUUUUUUGUUGAGCUUAAGUUCAGAAUGAACUUCUGCACAACUUAAAAAGAAGUUAUAGUGAAUACCACUGUUCUUCAACAAAUAACCAAAGUAAACUCAAAAGUGAGAAUCAUCAACUCUCCCUGUUGCAACCAAAAAGAAGGGAAAAAAAGACAAACAAGUAGGAAAAGAACAAAAGGACUCUUUAGGUAGAUCUCUAGAACUUCAGACUGUAAUUUCAGAGCAUUACUAGGAAAUUGAAUAAGGAUUUUUUUUUUUGUCCGAGUUUAAGUAAAAGAGGUAACAUUCUUCAUUUAAAAUGCUUUAAGAAUGCUUGCUCUAGGUGCAAGCCACCUAGGUGCAAACUCCAUGUAAAAAUACAACUACAUUUAGUAUCUGUGGUUGGCCCCCAGGUAGACAAUGACACGAUUUUCAUACACCUUCUUCAUAGUUUUCUCAAUUUGCUUCAAAAAUACUUGUGGAAUUCUCCCACAUAAAGUGUGCACUGUAUCCAGGAACUUAGAUUGAAGAGGAUAGUACAAAGACUGGAAGAGAUUGUCUUCAAAUGGAAAAUCACGUAUCACUUCAUAGAGUGCCUUGAAUGUAGGCUGCUUGUCAUCAUGGUAGACACCUCUAUUUCCAUGCAGAAUAGAGACACCUUCUUCUUCUGCACCUUUACAGUUACUUCCAUACAUACAGUGGUCAGGUCGGUAGUUCCACUGACAUGGAAACACAUAGAGACACUCUGGGUUAAAGUAAAAAAUAAUAUUUAGUAAAUCCUGGUCUCCCCAUGUGAUGUAAUUUUUGUACUUUUGAUAUAAUGGAUAUAACAUUUCCUCCCAAGUCAAACCACUCGGUAUCAUGCUGUUCCUGAACUGAGUGUUGCGUAUCCGUGUUAAAUUCAUUAGCAUCACUCCAGAAUUGACUCCAGUUGUCCCAUAAUAUGGGUGACGUGCAAAUCGACUAUACCAGCCAAUCUUUGGUAUUUCGUGUUCUGGGGCCAUAGCAGCUAGCUGCGUUGAGUUGAAUUCUUUCAGGAUGUGCCAGAUGUCAUCGAUGGGCCUCAGGAAGAGAACAUCGGUGUCCACAUAAAGGAGAGAGUCCACAUCCUUUAAAAUAACCGGAAGAAAAAGGCGCUGGGCAGCACAUGGUUUGAAUAACUUCUUCCAUUCCUGAGCAUUUCCUACUGAGAAGGUUAUUGGGUAAAUGUUGUACUCAAAUUUCUUUGUAUACGAGGAGGGCCAUUCCUGUAACUUCUUGUUGAAUUCAGGCUUAAGGGCAUCCUCAGAAAAAAUGUGAAAGCAGAGCCUCCUGUUGCUAAAGAGAACUGCUGAUUUCAGCAUGAUGAGCGUCUCUUCCAGCCGGUCCCCACAUGCCACAACUGCCAGAUGCAUGCACUGUAAAGAUGAAGGCUCUUUUGAAUGUUUUUGUUCUCCAGGCUUCCUGGCAGCGGCGAGUCCGCCCCCGGGCGCGCUCCUCCGCGGCGGGCUCCGGCUGAGCCUCGGCUGCCGGCGGCCGAGGGGCGCGGCGGGGCGGGCGGGUGCGGAGGGCGCGGGCGGCGGGCGCGGGGGCGCGGCGGCGCUGCCGG
rnacentral:lncRNA from 1 species